GCGCAGCAGUCGCGAAAACUUCACAAUGUGCGAAAGCACGAUGAGGGAAUCCCAAGUGCUUGCACGUAAGUGUAAGCUGUUUCUCUGUCUAAAACGCAGAGAGAGUAAGGGCUGGGUAAGACGGGUGCCAGCCGCCGCGGUAAUACCCGCAGCUCGAGUGGUGACCGUUAUUAUUGGGCCUAAAACGUCCGUAGCCGGUUUAAUAAAUGCCUGGGUAAAUCGGACCGCUCAACGGUUCGAAUUCCGGGUAGACUGUUAAACUUGAGACCGGGAGAAGUUAGAGGUACUCCUGGGGUAGAGGUGAAAUUCUGUAAUCCUAGGGGGACCACCAGUGGCGAAGGCGUCUAACUAGAACGGGUCUGACGGUGAGGGACGAAGCCCU
rnacentral:rRNA from 1 species